GUCCACAUCGACGGCAAGGUUUGGCACCUCGAUGUCGGCUCAUCGCAUCCUGGGGCUGGAGCAGGUCCCAAGGGUACGGCUGUUCGCCGUUUAAAGCGGUACGCGAGCUGGGUUCAGAACGUCGUGAGACAGUUCGGUCCCUAUCCUCCGUGGGCGCAGGAGAAUCGAUGGAGGCUGCCCCCAGUACGAGAGGACCGGGGUGGACGCACCUCCGGUGAACCGGUUGUCGACCAACGGCACGGCCGGGUAGCCGCGUGCGGCGCGGAUAACCGCUGAAGGCAUCUAAGCGGGAAGCCGUUCCAGGGAUUAGUUCUCCUUCCGGUAAGGGCCCAGGUAGACUACCUGGUCGAUAGACGGCAGGUGCAAGGACGGCGACGUCCUCAGCCGAGCCGCACUAAUCGCCUGAGCUCUUCC
rnacentral:rRNA from 1 species